rnacentral:rRNA from 1 species
UACGGGGGGUGCGAGCGUUAAUCGGAAUAACUGGGCGUAGAGGGCACGCAGGCGGACUUUUAAGUGAGGUGUGAAAUCCCUGGGCUUAACCUGGGAAUUGCAUUUCAUACUGGGAGUCUAGAGUACUUUAGGGAGGGGUAGAAUUCCACGUGUGGCGGUGAAAUGCGUAGAGAUGUGGAGGAAUACCGAAGGCGAAGGCAGCCCCUUGGGAAUGUACUGACGCUCAUGUGCGAAAGCGUGGGGAGGAAACAGG